rnacentral:rRNA from 1 species
GAUGAACGCUGGCGGCGUGCCUAAUACAUGCAAGUCGAGCGAACAGAUGAGAAGCUUGCUUCUCUGAUGUUAGCGGCGGACGGGUGAGUAACACGUGGGUAACCUACCUAUAAGACUGGGAUAACUCCGGGAAACCGGGGCUAAUACCGGAUAAUAUUUUGAACCGCAUGGUUCAAUAGUGAAAGACGGUUUCGGCUGUCACUUAUAGAUGGACCCGCGCCGUAUUAGCUAGUUGGUAAGGUAACGGCUUACCAAGGCGACGAUACGUAGCCGACCUGGAAGGGUGAUGGGCCACACUGGAACUGGGACACGGUCCAGACUCCUACGGGAGGCAGCAGUAGGGAAUCUUCCGCAAUGGGCGAAAGCCUGACGGAGCAACGCCGCGUGAGUGAUGAAGGUCUUCGGAUCGUAAAACUCUGUUGUUAGGGAAGAACAAAUUUGUUAGUAACUGAACAAGUCUUGACGGUACCUAACCAGAAAGCCACGGCUAACUACGUGCCAGCCGCCGCCGUAA